UUCCGGUUGAUCCCGCCGGAGGCUACCGCUAUUGGAGUUCGAUUAAGCCAUGCGAGUCGAGAGUCCUCGGGACUCGGCGUACCGCUCAGUAACACGUGGGUAACCUGCCCUAUGCUGGGGAAUAACCUCGGGAAACUGAGAAUAAUGCCCCAUAGCCCACUACGCCUGGAACGGUGAGUGGGUCAAAGCCCCGGCGGCAUAGGAUGGGCCUGCGCCGUAUCAGGUUGUAGGGGGUGUAAAGUACCCUCUAGCCAUCAACGCGUACGGGUGUUGGGAGACAUUGCCCGGAGAUGGAUUCUGAGACACGAAUCCAGACCCUACGGGGUGCAGCAGGCGCGAAAACUUGGCAAUGCGAGAAAUCGUGACCAGGGAACUCCAAGUGCGUAGGGUAAGACCUACGCUUUUCUUGACUCUUCAAAGGUCUUGGAAUAAGGGGUGGGUAAGGACGGUGCCAGCCGCCGCGGUAAUACCGGCGCCUCAAGUGGUAGUCGCUUUUAUUGGGCCUAAAACGUCCGUAGCCGGUCUGGUGCAUUCGUGGGUAAAUCAACCCGCUCAACGGGUUGAAUUCUGCGAGCACGGCCAGACUUGGGACCGGGAGAGGUGUGGGGUACUCUCAGGGUAGGGGUAAAAUCCUGUCAUCCUGAGAGGACCACCUGUUGCGAAGGCGCCACACUAGAACGGAUCCGACGGUCAGGGACGAAACCUAGGGGCACGAACCGGAUUAGAUACCCGGGUAGUCCUAGGUGUAAACGCUGUGGACUUGAUGUUGGGGACGCUCCGAGCGUUCUCAGUGUCGAAGCGAAGGUGAUAAGUCCACUGCCUGGGGAGUACGGUCGCAAGGCUGAAACUUAAAGGAAUUGGCGGGGGAGCACCGCAACCUGAGGAUUGUGCGGUUUAAUUGGAUUCAACGCCGG
rnacentral:rRNA from 1 species